rnacentral:lncRNA from 1 species
AGCAAACAGGCAGAAAUGGAGUGGACUUUCAUACAGUAAGUGUUCCUAUGAAUCUAAAACCUGCUAUGUGAUAUUUCAUUCAUUGUUAUUCACUUCCCUGUACAGGUUAAUUUCUCCUCCGUUCAACAAGCAAUGACACCAGGCCUUGGUGUGAGAGGCUCAGAGAAGAUGCCAACUCUUGUCUGAACUACAUUUCCCAAAAAGCUGUGGGGAAUGACCUGCCAUCUUCAGUCACCUGAUCAAUUGGAAGAAGACAAUUGGUGGAGUCGCAUUUUGAAAACUGUAGCAACGACAUCUGCUGAAGACAGAGGGCAUAUCCUCCGUCAUAUGAACUGCACCAGCUGUUGAGAGGUUUGGAAGAGACUAACUGACUGAGAGACUGAGCAAGUGACUCAGUGACAGAACUGGGAACUGUGGGCAUUUUUAGAAGAUUUUACGAUACAGAUUUACAUGUAUGUUAUGGAGCUGGUCCUGGAAAAUCUGCACUCAAGUCCUCAAAACUGAGAAAGAAGGAAUGUACUGUACAAUAUCUCCUAAAGCUAGCUGUUUCCAUGUGCAAAAGUGGGGUUUAAGAACACUCAGAGUACUGCAUAGCCAGAGGCACACCUCUCCCAACAGUCACAUUUGCAUACUGUACCCCGUACAGUGCUCUGGAUGUGCGCUGUAUUAUUGUCAACCUAUGCUUUUUCAGAUGCUUUGUUGAAGUCACUUUUAGUUGUUGCUUAUUCGUGCGGUGUUUUGAUUGUAAAUUGAACAGCAUGUAAACUGCUAUUCAAUUGAGUUUAGAUUGGGAGAUUGAUUUGAUUCCUCUAAGAUUUUCCACUUUUUCCAUUGAUAAGCUCCUAAUUUGCAUUGACUGUAUAUUUUUGGAUCAUGUUCAUGCUGCCCAAAAAACAUAAGAAGCACAAGCACCUCUCAGCAGGUAUGGAAGCACUGUCUGCUACGAAAGCAGACAGAAAAGUACAAAUAAGAGCUUUGAAUUUGCUGUCCCAAUACAUUUGGAGUGUGCUGUGUACAGUAUAUUGAUUUUGGAUUUUGAAAAUUGUAAACAUAGAUUCAUUUAAACAAGGAAUAAUGCAGUAAGUAACUUAAGCUUUGAUGCAAUGUGAUUAAA